rnacentral:rRNA from 1 species
ACAGCAGUCGCCACGGGAAAACCGAGGGUGCAAGCGUUAAUCGGAAUUACUGGGCGUAAAGCGCGCGUAGGUGGUUUGUUAAGUUGGAUGUGAAAGCCCCGGGCUCAACCUGGGAACUGCAUCCAAAACUGGCAAGCUAGAGUACGGUAGAGGGUGGUGGAAUUUCCUGUGUAGCGGUGAAAUGCGUAGAUAUAGGAAGGAACACCAGUGGCGAAGGCGACCACCUGGACUGAUACUGACACUGAGGUGCGAAAGCGUGGGGAGCAAACAGGAUUAGAUACCCCAGUAGUCCCUGUCUAUUAUAC